GAUAACCGCUGAAAGCAUCUAAGCGGGAAGCCUCCCUCAAGAUAAGAUUUCUUAGAGCCGUGGAAGACCACCACGUUGAUAGAUCGGAUGUAGAAGCGCAGUAAUGCGUGGAGCUAACCGAUACUAAUUGCUCUAUUCGCACUUAA
rnacentral:rRNA from 1 species